AUUGAACGCUGGCGGCAGGCCUAACACAUGCAAGUCGAACGGUAACAGGAAGCAGCUUGCUGCUUCGCUGACGAGUGGCGGACGGGUGAGUAAUGUCUGGGAAGCUGCCUGAUGGAGGGGGAUAACUACUGGAAACGGUAGCUAAUACCGCAUAAUGUCGCAAGACCAAAGAGGGGGACCUUCGGGCCUCUUGCCAUCGGAUGUGCCCAGAUGGGAUUAGCUUGUUGGUGGGGUAACGGCUCACCAAGGCGACGAUCCCUAGCUGGUCUGAGAGGAUGACCAGCCACACUGGAACUGAGACACGGUCCAGACUCCUACGGGAGGCAGCAGUGGGGAAUAUUGCACAAUGGGCGCAAGCCUGAUGCAGCCAUGCCGCGUGUAUGAAGAAGGCCUUCGGGUUGUAAAGUACUUUCAGCGGGGAGGAAGGGAGUAAAGUUAAUACCUUUGCUCAUUGACGGUACCCGAAGAAGAAGCACCGGCUAACUCCGUG
rnacentral:rRNA from 1 species